rnacentral:misc_RNA from 1 species
AAGUCGUAACAAGGUUUCCGUAGGUGAACCUGCGGAAGGAUCAUUAAAUUCAGUAGCUUGCUACUGUUAGGGGGGUCCAUUAGUCUGUAUAGUAUCACUACUGAUGAGCAGCACGACCCUCUGUCUAUACCCUUGUCUUUUGCGCACUCAUGUUUCCUCGGCGGGUUCAUACCCGCCGGCUGGAUCAAUCUAUAACCUUUUUCAUUUUCAAUCAGCGUCUGAAAAAACCUAAUAAUUACAACUUUCAACAACGGAUCUCUUGGUUCUG